rnacentral:rRNA from 1 species
GACGAACGCUGGCGGCGUGCUUAACACAUGCAAGUCGAACGGAAAGGCCCUGCUUUUGUGGGGUGCUCGAGUGGCGAACGGGUGAGUAACACGUGAGUAACCUGCCCUUGACUUUGGGAUAACUUCAGGAAACUGGGGCUAAUACCGGAUAGGAGCUCCUGCUGCAUGGUGGGGGUUGGAAAGUUUCGGCGGUUGGGGAUGGACUCGCGGGUUAUCAGCUUGUUGGGGGGGUAGUGGCUUACCAAGGCUUUGACGGGUAGCCGGCCUGAGAGGGUGACCGGCCACAUUGGGACUGAGAUACGGCCCAGACGCCUACGGGGGGCAGCAGUGGGGAAUAUUGCACAAUGGGCGGAAGCCUGAUACAGCAACGCCGCGUGCGGGAUGACGGCCUUCGGGUUGUAAACCGCUUUCGCCUGUGACGAAGCGUGAGUGACGGUAAUGGGUAAAGAAGCACCGGCUAACUACGUG